rnacentral:rRNA from 1 species
AUGGCGGCGCACCAGCCGGCCAGCCUCCCGGACCACCAGGCCCGCGCGCUCUCCUCCGCCUACAGCGGCGUCUGCACCGCCAAGGAGCCCGUCCGGACCCCCGGCGACCUGGCCGGUCUCAAGGGAGUUGGAGGUUGGGUUGUUGAUGUUAUGGAAGACUCCUUUCUAGGGUCCAGCCUUGAUUUGUCUCCUUCGAGAAGUAAUACACCAGGAGAAACGGGGAAGAAGAACACACGAAACAAACCUUGCGUGCCACGGUUGAAAUCAGCUGCUUAUGCAAUAAUGAUCACACUCUACAGGGAAAUGGGAAGAUGGAAGGAAUUUAUGAUGAGGCAAGAGCUUAUUGAUGUUGCUGAAGCCAGUGGUCUGUCACAACAUGCAAUAGGGAAUUCUCGGAAUGACGGUUACAGUUUCACUGGAUGGAAUAGCAUGAAGACGCUAACAAAUAAGGAUCUGGUUGAGAAAAAGAGUAAUCCUGCAAAGUAUUACCUAACAAAAAAAGGCAAAGCGACAGCUCGGGAUUGUCUCACACGAUCUGGAUCGGACGGUCCUGCAGGACCUUUAACGACGGCCGGUCAUCCUGCAGUUGUGCUCAGCGAUUCAGAUUCUGAUGAAUAUGACGGCAUCAGUCCCCUGAUAGGUUCUGAAAGAAGUGGACUUCCAAACUCAAAAGCAGACAGUUCCAGUUCCUUUGGUAUCAGCAUGCUUUCUUUGCAUAUAGGUUCUGCUGAGAAGUCUUUACUAGCUAUGCCACCUCAUCAAUCUAAUGAAAGUUUUCUGAAAGCUUAUGAAGUGGUGCUGAUAUUGGAUGAUCGAGAUACUUUCGGGCCCCAUUCCAGAAGAGAAGUUGUUGAUAAUAUACACUCGCGGUUUAAUAUUCCUGUAGAGGUUAAUGCUCUUUGGAUUGCUCGCCAUAAAGAACUUGACACGGAGUAUGUUCUUGAUUUCAUUGUUGAAAGGAAAAUUGUGGAUGAUUUACUUGGCUCAAUUAAAGACAACAGAUACAAAGAUCAAAAACUAAGACUGAAGAAAUAUGGGCUAAGGAAGCUAAUAUAUCUAGUUGAAGGGGAUGUAAACACUGUAGAUGGAUCAGAGAGCGUUAAAACAGCCUGCUUCACUAGUGAGGUUCUUGAAGGAUUUGAUGUCCAGAGAACCACUGGCAAAAACUUCUCUGCUGGUGCUGAUACCUCUCGACUUUGCCUGACCUAUGACAAGUUUGUGAAGAGGUGUUCUGAUCUUGAGAAGGUCACUGUGAGCGAUAUGUUCGCCCUUCAGCUUAUGCAGGUGCCACAAGUGACAGAAGAAGCUGCUCUUGCUGUUACGAGUCUCUACCCCACUGUUCUCUUUCUUGCUAAGGCAUACGACAUGCUUGAUGGCGAUAGGCAUGCCCAGGAGGAGAUGCUGAAGAACAAGAGCAACAUGGUCAACGCGGGGGCUAGCAAAAACAUCUUCAAGCUCAUCUGGGCGGAAAGAUGA